rnacentral:rRNA from 1 species
GUCCACACCGUAAACGUUGUAUACUAGGUGUUCGGGGUUCUCCCUGAGUGCCGACGCUAACGCAUUAAGUAUACCGCCUGGGGAGUACGCUCGCAAGAGUGAAACUCAAAGAAAUUGACGGGGGCCCGCACAAGCGGUGGAGCAUGUGGUUUAAUUCGAUGGUACGCGAGAAACCUUACCCGGGCUUGAACUGUGCGUGACCGGCGUAGAGAUAUGCCUUUCCUUCGGGACACGUAUAGAGGUGCUGCAUGGUUGUCGU